rnacentral:rRNA from 1 species
CUACCGUGCCCUGCGGAAUAGCUCCGGGAAACUGGAAUUAAUACCGCAUACGCCCUACGGGGGAAAGAUUUAUCGGGGUAUGAUGAGCCCGCGUUGGAUUAGCUAGUUGGUGGGGUAAAGGCCUACCAAGGCGACGAUCCAUAGCUGGUCUGAGAGGAUGAUCAGCCACAUUGGGACUGAGACACGGCCCAAACUCCUACGGGAGGCAGCAGUGGGGAAUAUUGGACAAUGGGCGCAAGCCUGAUCCAGCCAUGCCGCGUGAGUGAUGAAGGCCUUAGGGUUGUAAAGCUCUUUCACCGAUGAAGAUAAUGACGGUAGUCGGAGAAGAAGCCCCGGCUAACUUCGUGCCAGCAGCCGCGGUAAUACGAAGGGGGCUAGCGUUGUUCGGAAUUACUGGGCGUAAAGCGCACGUAGGCGGAUAUUUAAGUCAGGGGUGAAAUCCCAGAGCUCAACUCUGGAACUGCCUUUGAUACUGGGUAUCUUGAGUAUGGAAGAGGUAAGUGGAAUUGCGAGU